CCAAGAGUUCACAUCGACGGGGAGGUUUGGCACCUCGAUGUCGGCUCGUCGCAUCCUGGGGCUGUAGUCGGUCCCAAGGGUUGGGCUGUUCGCCCAUUAAAGCGGUACGCGAGCUGGGUUCAGAACGUCGUGAGACAGUUCGGUCCCUAUCCGUCGUGGGCGUAGGAAAUUUGAGAGGAGCUGUCCUUAGUACGAGAGGACCGGGAUGGACGCACCGCUGGUGUACCAGUUGUUCUGCCAAGGGCAUAGCUGGGUAGCUAUGUGCGGAAGGGAUAAGUGCUGAAAGCAUCUAAGCAUGAAGCCCCCCUCAAGAUGAGAUUUCCCAUAGCGUAAGCUAGUAAGAUCCCUGAAAGAUGAUCAGGUUGAUAGGUUCGAGGUGGAAGCAUGGUGACAUGUGGAGCUGACGAAUACUAAUAGAUCGAGGACUUAACCAUAUAAUAUGUAGCAAAUGUUAUCUAGUUUUGAAGGAAUAUGCCUUCAAUAGUUUGGUGAUGAUGGCAGAGAGGUCACACCCGUUCCCAUACCGAACACGGAAGUUAAGCUCUCUAGCGCCGAUGGUAGUUGGGACCUUGUCCCUGUGAGAGUAGGACGUCGCCAAGCAACUAAANAAGGCUGAGCUGUGAUGGGGAAGCUCCUUAUGGAGCGAAGUCUUUGAUUCCCCGCUGCCAAGAAAAGCUUCUAGCGAGAUAAAAGGUGCCUGUACCGCAAACCGACACAGGUAGGCGAGGAGAGAAUCCUAAGGUGUGCGAGAGAACUCUGGUUAAGGAACUCGGCAAAAUGACCCCGUAACUUCGGGAGAAGGGGUGCUUUCUUAACGGAAAGCCGCAGUGAAUAGGCCCAAGCGACUGUUUAGCAAAAACACAGCUCUCUGCGAAGCCGUAAGGCGAAGUAUAGGGGGUGACACCUGCCCGGUGCUGGAAGGUUAAGGAGAGGGGUUAGCGUAAGCGAAGCUCUGAACUGAAGCCCCAGUAAACGGCGGCCGUAACUAUAACGGUCCUAAGGUAGCGAAAUUCCUUGUCGGGUAAGUUCCGACCCGCACGAAAGGUGUAACGAUUUGGGCACUGUCUCAACCAGAGACUCGGUGAAAUUAUAGUACCUGUGAAGAUGCAGGUUACCCGCGACAGGACGGAAAGACCCCGUGGAGCUUUACUGUAGCCUGAUAUUGAAUUUUGGUACAGUUUGUACAGGAUAGGCGGGAGCCAUUGAAACCGGAGCGCUAGCUUCGGUGGAGGCGCUGGUGGGAUACCGCCCUGACUGUAUUGAAAUUCUAACCUACGGGUCUUAUCGACCCGGGAGACAGUGUCAGGUGGGCAGUUUGACUGGGGCGGUCGCCUCCUAAAGUGUAACGGAGGCGCCCAAAGGUUCCCUCAGAAUGGUUGGAAAUCAUUCGUAGAGUGCAAAGGCAUAAGGGAGCUUGACUGCGAGACCUACAAGUCGAGCAGGGACGAAAGUCGGGCUUAGUGAUCCGGUGGUUCCGCAUGGAAGGGCCAUCGCUCAACGGAUAAAAGCUACCCCGGGGAUAACAGGCUUAUCUCCCCCAAGAGUCCACAUCGACGGGGAGGUUUGGCACCUCGAUGUCGGCUCAUCGCAUCCUGGGGCUGUAGUCGGUCCCAAGGGUUGGGCUGUUCGCCCAUUAAAGCGGUACGCGAGCUGGGUUCAGAACGUCGUGAGACAGUUCGGUCCCUAUCCGUCGUGGGCGUAGGAAAUUUGAGAGGAGCUGUCCUUAGUACGAGAGGACCGGGAUGGACGCACCGCUGGUGUACCAGUUGUUCUGCCAAGGGCAUAGCUGGGUAGCUAUGUGCGGAAGGGAUAAGUGCUGAAAGCAUCUAAGCAUGAAGCCCCCCUCAAGAUGAGAUUUCCCAUAGCGUAAGCUAGUAAGAUCCCUGAAAGAUGAUCAGGUUGAUAGGUUCGAGGUGGAAGCAUGGUGACAUGUGGAGCUGACGAAUACUAAUAGAUCGAGGACUUAACCAU
rnacentral:rRNA from 1 species